ACGUAUACCGUCCAGGUGGUCUCAACAACACAUUACUCUCUCAAGGCUGCGUCCUUGGGAAACUUCUAGCAUGGAGAAGCACUUUGAAAAUGUAAUCCUACCACCUCUGGCCUCCGUGAUUUAAGAAGUCAGCCAUUGGUCUUAUUGAGGAUCCCUUGCACAUGAGUGAUUAAGAAUUGCCAUUCAGAAAAUCUGCAAAGUCACACAGCCCAGGCAUGCACAAAAGCAGAGAUUGUGACCUGAAAUGACCACAGAACCAAAGAUCCUUCUUCCCACAGAACCCAAGGACGAGGAAAUGACUGGAACUUGAAAGUCAGACUCUUACCAGAAGUGAAGGGUACCUCAUUCAGGAAGAUCCGGUGUUCAAAUUUCUUCCUUGCCUCAUCAUAAAAGUUUAGAACCUUACCAUAAAUGCUUGAAGCCCACCAAUCAAAGCCUGCCCCACCAGCAUUUCCGCGUGCAGCCCUUUCUCCCUAACCUCUUAAAUUUUGCCCCAAAUCCUGAACUGGGGAGACAGAUCUGAGGGCACAUGCACCCUGUUCUCCCUGCAGAC
rnacentral:lncRNA from 1 species